rnacentral:rRNA from 1 species
AACGAACGCUGGCGGCAUGCCUAACACAUGCAAGUCGAACGAGACCUUCGGGUCUAGUGGCGCACGGGUGCGUCACGCGUGGGAACCUGCCCUUAGGUUCGGCAUAACUCCCCGAAAGGGGUGCUAAUACCGGAUAAUGUCUUCGGACCAAAGAUUUAUCGCCUUUGGAUGGGCCCGCGUUGGAUUAGCUCGUUGGUAGGGUAAAAGCCUACCAAGGCGACGAUCCAUAGCUGGUCUGAGAGGAUGAUCAGCCACACUGGGACUGAGACACGGCCCAGACUCCUACGGGAGGCAGCAGUGGGGAAUAUUGGACAAUGGGCGAAAGCCUGAUCCAGCAAUGCCGCGUGAGUGAUGAAGGCCUUAGGGUUGUAAAGCUCUUUUACCCGGGAUGAUAAUGACAGAACCGGGAGAAUAAGCUCCGGCUAACUCCGUG